CUUACCUAUGUACUCUUCAUAACACUUUUACAUUUAAUCUUUUAAUAGGUGUAAUAGAUUUAUUAUACAUGUACAAAAAUCUUUUGGCCCUAUAAUAAAAGGUCAUUUCUAGUGAAGAAUAGUUGAAAAGUACGUUUUUUGCCUUCUAAUUAUUUCUUGUCUUGUUCUCAUCUGCAUAUUAUCACACCUUGUUUCCUUUAAUUUCAUAAUAUGUUUAUCAUUCACGAAGAUCUAACCACCUGAGGUAUGAAUUUUUUUUUUAUCCUAAUCAGCUAUAAUUCAAAGUUACUUUUGUUGAUAAGAUCAAAGUAUUAUAUAGAAACAUAGUUGGAAGAUAAUUAAACCUCCUAAGAGGUAGUAGAAUUCGAAAGUUACCUCUUGAAGAGAUAGUAGAAUUAGAAAUUAAACCUCCUGAAGCGGUAGUAAAAUUAAAAAAAAAAAAAACUCCAAAAGAUGUUUAUAAUUUUAGUCUCCUGAAGAAGGGACAAUCUAAUUAAAAAAAAAUUAUGUUUUUUGGGUCUCAUGAAGAAAGACAAUUCAUAUCAUUUUUUUUUCGCCUAAAGAUGAUAAUUUGUAUAUUUUUUUGUCUCCCGAAGAAACAAAUAUAUAUUUAUAUUAUCUUAGUCUCCCGAAGAAGGCACUCUUAGAUGAAUAUUUUUAUAUAAGUUAUAUGUAUUUGGUUAUAAAUUGUCUUUGCAAUAGUUUUUUUACUUGUGUGAUCUUUCAUCUUGUAAUGACAAUGCUAAGAAAAUAUGAGAAUGUUUUGAAUAAUAAUAUGAUUAAUUAUUAUAUUUUUUUUAUAAUUCCACAUCUUAUACACUUGAUAACUCUAUUGUUUUUUUUUCCUUGUCUCAAUUUACUAGUUUCAUAAUGUCACUAUCAACAAACUUUGAGUUCGUUGCUCUUGAAUAUAUCGGGUAAAACUUACUUGGAAUUGGGACCUUGAUGCGGAAAUUCAUUUGGGAUUGCUAUGAAUCUCGGAAAAACAAAUAAUAGGAAAUGAGCAUCCCUGAAGGAUCGCGCUAAGUAAUAUAUACUUCGUCAACCAUCUCCAUGAAGGAUUAAAACUGAAUAUCUAACAAUACAUGAUCCAUAUAUCCCCCCCCUUUUUUUUUUUUUUUUUUUUUUGGCAAAAUUUGACAACGUUAUGACCACCACAAGGAAAAAUUUAAAUUUCCCCUUUUUCCAAAAGCUCGUUAUGAGGAAUCGCUUCACUUUAGGUUACCGGUUUUAAAAACUGUAAGCGAGUAUAUUCUGCAUAUUUAGAAUUACUUCUCAAUUGAAAUUAUGUGGAGAAAAUAUUACUGAGGAAGAUAUGUUGGAGAAAACUUAUUCUACUUUUCACGCUAUACAUAUGCUCCUGCAGCAAGCAAUAUCGUGACGUAGUUUUAAAAAAAAUAUUCUAAUUGAUAUCAUUCUUUCUGGUUGCUGAACAAAUAAUGAUGUUUUGAUGAAUAUCAUUAAUCAACCAGACCAACUGGUUCGGUGCCAUUCCCUGAAGUGAAUGCAAAGACUGUGGUGUGGUUAUCCAUGUCGUGGGCGUGGUCGGGUCUUAGCCGUGACGUGUCUUGACGUAGUUAAUCUUAUAUCUAUGAUAUCCUGGUGAUCCAUAAUAGCUCAAAAAAAUUUUUAAGAAAACUGAAAAUAAGAGGAAGUAUGGAAAGGAAAAAGAUUUGAAAAAGAAGCCUUUCAAAAAUUAAUGCGAAAAUACUGUGAUAGAUGUUGCAUGAAAGUCAUUGGUCACGUACCUGUCGUAUGUCUAAACAUCCUUGUGAUCUUAUCAACAGCGUUGAAAGAAACAGAAAAGCUGCAGAAACGAAUUUUAUUGCACAUCAUAUAAUUCGCUGGAUAUUACACGUCUUGUAUACUUUGGAUUCCUUUGAGAUGUUGAUGAGAAAUUCAUCAUUGAUUGGCAUGAAAAUAUCAAUAUUGAAAAUCUUAUUGUAAUAACAAAUCAAUGUCUUUAUUUAGUAGGUUACUUUUAAUCUUUUGUUGUUAUCUUUCCUAUUGUCUUUAGUAUUUUUCAUAUAAAUAAAAAUUAUACGUUGAUUUGAAUGUUUUUCAUACAUCUUAUUUUUGUUAUUUUGAAGAAAUAGGAGUUUAUUAUUUGGCAUCAUGGUGGAAAUUUAUGUCUGGCAGACAGUGCAACAACGCACAACAUUCUCAGAGAUAAAUAUAUUUUUUCAAAAAGCUAAAAUUAACUGAAGCCAUGUUUAUUAUAAUCUCUGUAUUAAGCAAAUUUUAAAAUUAAGGCUCUGGAAGCGCACUAUUAAUGUUCAGUGGAGGAACACAAUUAAUAUAAUUGAUGCAUUAUUUUCUAGUAAUCACCAAGAAUCUACUAAUUUUUAAAUAAUCUACGUCGUAAUGGUUAUCAUAUUGAGGACCACAACUAAAAUUGUAAUAGAAUUUUAUAUAUCACAAUCGCUUAUCUUAAGCAAGAAGCAUAUAUUUAGAUAGAAAAGUUGUCAACAUUCUCUUCGAAUGUAUAUUAUACAUAUAU
rnacentral:lncRNA from 1 species